rnacentral:rRNA from 1 species
AUGUCUUCGGAAGAGGUAACAGGUAUCGAACUGAAUUUGCUAGAAAAAGUUACAAACCAAUUUUCCGAGGAGCUCAAAAUUGGAAGUGGUGGCUUUGGGGAAGUGUACAGGGGUGUGCUUAAUGGGUGUGAAAUUGCUGUGAAGAAGCUUUAUCUCACCAAUAGAUCAAUAGAUGAUAAGAGUUUUACAAAUGAAUUUCGCCAACUUAUGAAGGUCCAACAUGAAAACAUUAUACGGCUGAUUGGCUACUGCUAUGAGAUAAGACAUAAGCAUACUAUAGACAACGGGCAACUUGUCUUUUCUCAAGUUAUAGAUCGAGCUCUCUGUUUCGAAUACAUGCCGGAAGGAAGUCUUGCCAAGCAUAUUUCUGAUGAAUCUUGCAAACAUGACUGGUCCACAACAUUCAAAAUAAUUAAAGGGACCUGCGAGGGCCUACACUACCUUCAUAGAGGAACAGGAGACGGCAAACAUAUUUACCAUCUGGACUUAAAACCGGACAACAUAUUGUUGGAUAAAGAUAUGGUCCCCAAAAUCGCAGACUUUGGUUUGUCCAGACUCUUUGGUGAAUCAAAGACCCACAUAACAAACACCCGUAUGGAGGGAACAUUAGGAUUCAUGGCACCAGAAUAUAUACAUGAGUGUGCGAUAUCACCAAAGAAUGAUGUGUUCAGUCUCGGCGUUAUAAUUUUCUACCUACUGGCCGGACAGAAGGGCUACAACGAUUAUUGUGAGUCGCGGUCCUCUCCAGGGCAACAAUUCAUUGACAGAGUACAAGAAUACUGGAAAAAAAGGAUGCGUGCAUCGGUGGGCUACACAUGGGACAAAAUCGAUCUCCUGGCGGUGAAGAUAUGCACUGAAAUUGCAAUGAGCUGUGUGGAGAAAGAGCGUAGGGACAGGCCUUCUACAAACAAGAUUAUUGAUGAACUCCACCAACUAGACGCUCAAAUGCAGAUGUCAAAGAAAGAUUCCGAGUCAGUUACAGGCCUGGGAAAAUCCGACGUAAGAUAUAUUGCGCUUGAUCCAUCACUGGAGCUGCGCUUCCCGUUCAAACCAAAUAUGGACAUGCCAUGCUGCCUGCAGCUAACCAACAUGACAGAAAAUUCCAUUGCCUUCAGUGUGAAGACAAACAAAAGGAAGUAUAGCCCACAACCAAGCAAAGGAAUCAUACCACCAUGUUCCAAGUCAUACAUCAUUGUAACGUUGCGAGCACAGGAAGAGGCACCACCGAACAUGCAGUGCCUCGACACGUUAAUUGUGCAGAGCACAAGGGUGAGCGAGGAUUUCACAUCCCAAGAGAUCACUCAACACUUCCUUGAGGAAGCAGAGGUGGAUGAGGUGAUAUUGCCAAUUGCUUAUGUUGCAUUCGAAAAAUCUGACCUCGAUGUAUCUAAAUAG